AAAAAAAAAAAAUAAUAAGUUUCAUAUGCUAAUGGCUGUCAUGGCCUUUACCUUUACAUAACAGUGGCAAUGGUUGUUACAAUAACAACAAAAAGUUUUGCCCUUUACAUAAUGGGGAUAACAGCAUAGGUACCCCCCAUAACCUUUAUAUAACAACCGUUACAUUACAUAAUGACCAUUUUUUAAAUCUAUUAUCCGAAGCCAUAAUAUUGUUACAUGUUAAUGAACAGCAGUUCUGAAAAGAAAAUGCAGAACCUUGCCACAUAGUGUAGGUUUAUCAACCCUUUCUCAACUCCCUUGAUUUUUUGGAUGACAUUUUAAAUCACAGAAGAAAGCAUGAAACUGAACUUCCAAGAAACACUUGUCUUCUACCUUUUUUUGCACCACAAAUGGUCUCCUUGUCCAGAUGCAUGUUUACAGUCUUAAUAUCCUUAAAAUUUUAAUCAU
rnacentral:misc_RNA from 1 species